ensembl:lncRNA
GAUGUGCAAUGGCUGUGAAUGCAGCAAUGCUGUCCUAAAAGCUGACCUGGCUCAGGAGUUGCUGUGGCCAAGGAUGGUACUUUGAUGUGACCAUAGAAUUCCAAAAGUUGUGAGGAUGCAGCGAUGACCACUCUGGAUAGAUGCGUCACCGCUUAGAAAGACAAUAAAGAAUGACCAGGCAAUACUCUUUGAAAAUUGGAGACCAUUUGCAGCUGCUCUCUGCUGAGGAAAGUGAAUAAUAGGGUGCCCUCAAGGAAUUUCAAAGAGAACAACAGGAUGAGAUGACAGCUUUUCUCAUGGCCCUGUUAAUAGUUUUUGCUAACAAGGAAAGGGGAAGGGAAUAAUUCUUUGCAAUAAUAUUGACUUCUUCUGUGAUCUCGGAACAUCUAAAGACUGAAGACAAUGACCUGAAAUGAACCUGUGUAUGAAAAAGAACACAGUGAUGGAGAUUUCUCUAAGUGCAUCAUGUUUUCUUGGCCACAAUAACCCAGAUGAGCUAAUGGAGCUGGAAUGAGAAGAAGAGAAUGAUUGCCUUCCUGCUUCCCCUCACCCUGCCACCCUAAGAAUUGUUCAAGGAAAUGUACUAUAGAAACUUUGCAGAGAGGUUUUUCUGAUGGUGAUGAAGGCAUCAAAGUCUGCUCCAAGGCUACCUCCCUUUCAGGGCUCUAAUGCAACUCACCAUUGAAUGAAAAUAAUUUCAGGAACAAUUAGACAAAAGGUCAGCAUAAAUUCUUCCUGUAUCCACGACAUUAUCAUCACCCAAGUGUCUUUUGCUUACAGUACGUUGUGACAAAGUAAAAGCUAUUUCAGCUGUUAUAUUGUGAUGGCUGUUAUUUAUGGAACAUAAAAGGAUACUGAAAUACAAAAGGGUUUGAAAAGACCAGGGUAAGAUCAGAUAAAAAAAAAAAUGAGAGAGAAACAGGCAUCUUGGGAUGGUAACUACCCUGCCAUGUACUGACAGGGAGGUUGUAUAUUUUUAGAAUAUACUGAAAGGAAUGGUGCUUUUACUUAGGUUUUUAUGGUUUACCAUGAGAUGCAAUUUUCUGGCCUUAUAUGCAGUUGUAACAAAAGUCAGAGAGAUUUUAUGAUAGCUGCCAGAGUUCAUAAAUGAUGGCAUACACUAAAAUAUUUAUAGAACUGUAAAAUCUUGAUUUCUCUCUGGUUUAGCAGAUGGGGUCCUAAAACUGGUUCCCAGAUUGUCACAUUUCUUUACCCUUUGAUGACAAAGAAGCCAGUUAUCACUUUUUUUCCCCUCUAGAAAGCAAGUUCACUAGUGUAAUCAAGUUCAUACUUCUAUCCAAUUAUACACACCAAGAUCCAUGAAUUAAGACGUGUCAGACAUAUAAGAUUUGUAAUUAUUCAAGGCAAAGGGCCUAUCAUUAAACAUCAGGGUCCAAGCAGACUUGCCAUCUCCCUGACCAAUGUCCAAUGUGGAAGUCUGCUUUGCAAUCAUGAUGCUUCAUCCACAGUGUGAAUAAAUGCUGCUUUUUCACCAGAAGUGAUGAACUUCGGUGCCUACUUCAUACAGAUCAGCACAGUUAUUUGUUUGUGUUCAGGGUGGUUUGUUAUCCUCAAAGAAAAUGAAUCCCCAUACCACUGCUAAGCUCAUCUCUAUUUCAGAAUUAAAAUUGAUGGCUGGGGGUAGUGGAAGCAGAAUAUAUCAACUGCAAAGCAGAAUUUUUCAAUUGCUGACCAGGAUUUACCCCACAUUAGAAGAUUUUUAAUUAAAACUGAAGAGAGUUUGGAGUCAUGUGACCCUCCUUUAUUGUAUUCUCACAUGCAAGUUUCUAGAUUGUAAUUGAUAGUGAAUGAAAGUACACACUCCAGCCAAAUUUCCAACAUUUACUGAUGCAUUCAUUAAGAUAUACCAUAUAUCCAUAAUCUGUUACAAUAAUUGUCUAAAUAUUUAUAAAAUAGAAAAAGUAAAGCAGAACCUAUGGUCCCGUUCUUCUGGGAACUGUCCAGACAAACAGUAAAUACUGUUAGUACUGAGACAUACUGCAUCCAGCAAUAUAACGUAAGUGAUGAAAACAAGGCAUCAGGAUCAGGAUCAAUAGAAGAAACAAUGGGGACACUGCAAAAUAAUUUUUUAAAAUCCAAAGUGGUCUCAGUUUAUUUGUAUUUUCUGCAAUCCAAAAUGCACUUUGGUUCACUGUUGAUUAUUAACAUUGCAUUGUGCCUAUAGAGGAGGAACUGUUAAUACCCAGGAAUGCAUGAACAAAUGCAGCAAAUCUGAAUAUCAAACUUUAGGAUUAGAUAUUUUACUCAGUGAUCCCAGCACAUCUUCUUCACCUUAAUGAAAUCUGUUUGAGAUCGUGGAUGAGAACGUGGUCAAGGUAAUGGUUGAGCUUGUGUUGUGAUUUCUUUAAAAUAUGUAUCUUUAAAUAUGAACAAAACCUUAGCUGACAAUUCCCAGCUGCCUACAUUUCUUCCUUUUUUUUCUUUAUCCUAUCAUUAAAACUGAAGAACAAAUAAAUAAUAAAAGAAGAGAAAGAGCAAGGGAAACACAGAACUUAGAGAAGCAUCUCUUGUUUAGACUCCAUAGGCAGAGCUUUUAUGUAAACUGCAGUGAUUACCAUUUUACCUUACAUAGUAAACCUUUAUUUCUUCAAUAAAGUGACUCUCAGCUCAAAAAAGGAGGUAUUUUCUUUCUAUCUCUCUUCUCGUCUCUUUUUAUGUGUCCCCUAGCACUGUCUUGUCUCAGUGUGUCCCAAGAUUUUUAAACAGAUAGGAUAACAACAAAUAGCAAUCUCUCUUUCAUUUUUAAUGGAGCUUGAGAGAAGUAUCUUAAUGAGUAUUUAUAGGAUUUGGUUUAUUUGUAUGGAUAUGAGAAUUGCUUUAACCAGCUGGCCUUCAUCUAGGCAUUGUUUUUCUUUGGCUUUAAGUGGAUGCUGGGAGAUAAUGUUAUUUGCAUCCAAAACAAAGACAGUGUAUUACUAGAACUUCUGCAUAUGUUACCUCACCAGCUCAUUUUGUGAUUUCAUGUCAGAUGUGAAAUAGUAAUAGGGUAUUGAGGAAAGGAUCAACUGGAAAUCUGCCAAUGAUUCAUGUGGUGUUGGAGACCUAUCUGACUUCAGUAUGCUGGUGAGUUUGAUCUGGUAAAAAAGAUACAAGGAUGUUGAAUUCAUUUCUGUUCAUCUCUGUUUUCUGUUGGAGCCAGAAGGAGAAUAUAUUAGAGAUAGAAGAGGGAUGUAUUAGAUGAUAGGAAACAUUAAGCAUGUUGCACAGAAUGUGUAGAAUUGUGUGUGAGCUUUAAAUCCCUGAGCCUUGGCCCCAGACCUGCUUGCCAGAGCUCUGAGAGAUCAGCCAAACAGCAUCAGUGUUCUGUUUUUAUUAUUGUUUCUUAUUAGGAAAAGGAGUUUAAAUUCUGGGUGAUAGCUGUAAAGCUGUCUCUUUGGAAUACCUUUUCAUCCAACGAUGGAUAGGCAGAUAUAGUUAUUACCAUCAGUAGAUGGACUUCAAGAAAAGUGUGAAAUAGUUUUCCCUUUGGGAAAAGCUGGGCCAAGAUUGCUGCUAGUCUUUCAGGUUUCUGUGAUGUAGUAGUGAAGACCCAUACAUUUAGUAUCUGUUUUUCUGAAUCUGUUGACUUAAUUCUUGGGUAUGGGCACUGAAUUAAUGGACACACAUUUUAAAAAAAUAUAUUUUUAAUUUGGGAAUAUGAAUCUGCAAAGCACAAACCAUAAGCUGUAUGGUGUUUAUCACCGUUGAGUAGGCCUUCUGAAAACAAAUUUUGUUGUGCUUGAGGAGGUCUCGUUACUUUUGUAGAGUAGCUUAUGCAUGCUUCCUGAUGCUUGGAGAAAAUUUGGUUGUAUUAAUUUCUAACCUAAGCAAGUUGCUCAAUUCUCCUGAAAAGAAAGCUUGCACUGCCAGAAGAUGACUCCUUUCUUUCUGAGAUGCAACUUUUGUAACUUCUUUAGGCUAGUUGGACUCCAUAGGCUCUCUGGACUCCAACAGCUCCAUGUCUUUCUUGUGCUGGGGCCCAGAUCUCCAGGUGGUACUCCAGGUGAGGUACCUCAGGAGGGCAUAGUAGAAGGAGACAACCACCUCUGUCUCCCUGAUGGCCACCUCUCUUUUGAUGCAGCCCAGGAUACAUUUGGACUUCCAGGCUGCAAUCACACAUUCCUGGCUCAUGUCCAGCUUUGUG